UACAGAGGGGCAAGCGUUGUUCGGAAUUACUGGGCGUAAAGGCGCGUAGGCGGCCUGCUAAGUCGAACGUGAAAUCCCCGGGCUCAACCCGGGAACUGCGUCCGAUACUGACAGGCUUGAAUCCGGGAGAGGGAUGCGGAAUUCCAGGUGUAGCGGUGAAAUGCGUAGAUAUCUGGAGGAACACCGGUGGCGAAGGCGGCAUCCUGGGCCGUAACUGACGCUGAGGAGCGAAAGCAUGGGAGCGAACAGG
rnacentral:rRNA from 1 species